rnacentral:rRNA from 1 species
AUUGAACGCUGGCGGCAGGCCUAACACAUGCAAGUCGAGCGGAUGAAGGGAGCUUGCUCCUGGAUUCAGCGGCGGACGGGUGAGUAAUGCCUAGGAAUCUGCCUGGUAGUGGGGGAUAACGUCCGGAAACGGGCGCUAAUACCGCAUACGUCCUGAGGGAGAAAGUGGGGGAUCUUCGGACCUCACGCUAUCAGAUGAGCCUAGGUCGGAUUAGCUAGUUGGUGGGGUAAAGGCCUACCAAGGCGACGAUCCGUAACUGGUCUGAGAGGAUGAUCAGUCACACUGGAACUGAGACACGGUCCAGACUCCUACGGGAGGCAGCAGGGGGGAAUAUUGGACAAUGGGCGAAAGCCUGAUCCAGCCAUGCCGCGUGUGUGAAGAAGGUCUUCGGAUUGUAAAGCACGUUAAGUUGGGAGGAAGGGCAGUAAGUUAAUACCGUGCUGUUUUGACGUUACCAACAGAAUAAGCACCGGCUAACUUCGUGC